GUUGCUGAUGCUGUUGGUGCCGGUGGCGCCGCCGUUGCAGUUGGCGGGCACCGUGGCGUUGCCGAGCAGGACCUCGUUCCAGGCCCAGGUCAGCACCAC
rnacentral:tRNA from 1 species